AGCAGCCGCGGUAAUUCCAGCUCCAAUAGCGUAUAUUAAAGUUGUUGCAGUUAAAAAGCUCGUAGUUGAAUUUCGGGAUCAAUUAAUCGGUCGUGCCUCUGGUACGCACUGGUUUUAUUGGUUUCUCCCUUCUGACGAACCAGGAUGUCAUUAAUUUGGUGUCUUGGAGAAUCAGGACUGUUACUUUGAAAAAUUGAGUGUUUAAAGCAGGCUAACGCUUGAAUACAUUAGCAUGGAAUAAUGAAAUAGGACGUUUGAUCCUAUUUUGUGGUUUCUAGGAUCGACGUAAUGAUUAAUAGGGAUAGUUGGGGCAUUAGUAUUCAAUUGUCAGAGG
rnacentral:rRNA from 1 species